rnacentral:miRNA from 1 species
AUUUUAGUGUAUAUUAUUUAAAAAACUUUUAUGUAAAAACAUUUAUAUAAAGAAAUACAUUGUUUAGCAGUUUAAGAAGU